ACUUGUCUAGCUCAGUUGGUAAAAUACAAGGCUCUUAUACUUGUGGUUGUGGGUUCAAGCCCCAUGGUGGAUG
rnacentral:tRNA from 7 species